UGUUAAAGCUAUCUCUUUGGAUCCCUAAACUCACCAAUGAUUUUUAAAUGGACUCCAUUUUAUGAGCUAAGAAGAACCCAUCAAGAACAAGUGCUUCCUCUUUUAUGAACAGUUAACGAAACAACAAAGAAUGGUUUUUUGGCAUAUUCAGGAAAAUGAUAAUUGACAAUUAAGAAUCUUAUAUAGUUAUAUGUUUUAGUUGCCAGUUGUCAUUUGGCAGGUGGUGAGGAUGAAGAGGAAGAUGAUGAUGAUGAUGAUGACAAGAGGUCGAUGAGAAGGUCUAUGAAAGCACGAACAAUGAACUUGUGAGUAUGUGUAGGAUUGAGAUGGAGAUAGCAUAAAAGAAGCUCGUGGAGAUAAUCCCAGUCUUUUCUCACAUCCAAUGACACUUGUCUAGAGUCAAUCAUUUCGUGCAUUGAACGUAGGAAAUCAAUGUAUGGGUCCAGAGAGUACUUGGGCACCUUCACACUACCUCUCGGUAUCAUCAAGUUGGAGGAGUACUGUGGAGUGUGAGAGGAGUCUAUGAUGGAGUUGGAGGUGCCAGGGUAUGAGAAAAAGAAGCGUUGAGAGGCCAAGACGGAGGCAAAGUCUGUUGGUGGAGGAGGAAGAUCAUCAUUGAAGUGGAUCAUGGUUGAAUUAGUAGGAGUACUGGAAGGUGGUGAUGGUUGGGAUAGAUUAAUGGAAGAUGGGUAUUUGAGCUUCAAGAAACACAGAUGAAGGUGUUUAGACAACAUCAUUAAUUUGCACAAUGAAAUGAUAUGAAAAGAAAUAACUAAGGAGUGUGUUUGUGUGUGUGUGAGUGGUUGUGUUUUGCUGGCUAGCUUGCUUUUUGGAAAUUGGUAAUUGGUAAUUGGUAAUGGGAACCUGAUUUAUCCCUAAAAGAUAAAAUAAAAUGUUUGAUAAUAUAUAUAUUGCUAUCAUUGUACAUGUGGCAGUGGGAGUGCGGAAAGAUUGAACUAUGAAGAUCUCAUUUUACACUCUCUACAUGGACAAGCUAUUCUACUUCUAAAUCAUUUUAAUCAUUUUAAUCAUUUAUGGGGUUGUACCAAAUUCAACUUCAAUGCUGUGAAUGCUUAAUUCGCAGCUUCAACCAACUGUGACAUCCUUCAAUAGUCUUAUCUUCAUGGAUAACAUUCCUAGUCAGCCACUAACAUCACUUUAUUUGCAUCACUUUAAAGAUGCAAAUAAUUGAGCUAACAAGUUUCCUAUGCGGGGAGAUCUGUUGCUACCUUGUCCCUUCCUAACUUACUUGUUGCAUCACUCACAAUAUCUCUCAUCUGCUGCUGCUGCUGCUGCUGCUGCUGCUGACUGAGCACUCGCACCAACUCCACCACAAUCCCCCGGCCCAUAUUGUGGAGGGAUUUAAUAAAGAGUGAAUAGGAAAAUUCAUUACAAAGACUGAUUUUUAAAUCUAACACCAAUGAUAAUUGAGUAGUGUCUAUUGUUGAAUAAGGAUAUGCAUUCCUGUACCAAUGAAAAACAUGUCAUUUUUUUUGUUUUAAUAUGAUUAGUGGUGAGGUAUUAUAUAUUUGGGAUACACUCAAUCACAUAUUUGCUUCUUUUACUUGGAACAUUAUUUCAUACGUUAAAACAAGCAUAAGAUUGAGGUAGAUGAGGUUCUCUGAAUUAGCAUCUCAACAACAGUAAUGGCAUGAUUUGGAAUUGCGUAGACAUCUCCACAACUAAACUCAUUUAUAUCAGCCUAUGAAUCCUUUCUUUUCAGUGAGGGUCUCAUUAUACUUUCUUUCUGAAAAACUUGCAAUGAACUU